GUCUCAGCCAAGGACAGGGCUCUGUGCCAACGUCACAACCAUAUUUGUGCCAAAUGAGACCAGAGGAGGGAUGGUCUGAAGAGGGACGGGUGGCAAAGGAGGAGUCCCGAGAGGUCCAACCCUUCAAGAGGAGGGAGAAAUAUCAAGUGACAAACAGAGAAGCAAAGAGCUGAAGAGGCGGGUGAUGAAUUUGGGUGAAAACCACAGCAACCAUCGCUCUCUGCAUGUCAGACACUCUCAAGAAUCCCUCUGUGUGGCAGCACGAGGCUCCAUUUUUCCCAGCUCUGAAGUGAAGCAGACAAGGCAGGGAUAACCCUUCAGUCCUGCUCUGCACUUCAACACAAAGAGCGUCAGUGCAGGCAAGUUGGUGCUUAACAGGGCUGAUACGUAGGUGCAACGUCUAAGGAUAUUUUUUUUUCCUGUAGGUUUCUUUCCACAGAAGGAAUGCUAUUGAUUUUUCUUCUGCUGAUCUAAUCUGUCUGGAUUUCCCCUCCGUCAGCUGUGCUCCUGCGUCAUUUGUAGCUCAGCAGAGGCAGUGACGACAAGUGAUGCUGACCCAACUCCAGCUCCAAAACGAACCCAACCCUCGCAGAGCCCUCAGUCUCCCUUUGCAGAGCGAAGCUCUCUGCCUCUUCUGCUGUCAAGUGGGAUUAGAAAAAAAUAUCUUUUUUUUUUUUUCUCCUCUGCGGCCUGUCUGGCUUCAUAAAUCAUUCAUGUAAUUCCUGGCUUCUUCAAGAUGAAGUGGGUUCAGUUUAAAGCCAUUAUUAUUCUCUGUGGGACAGAUCUUCACUAGAUGAAAGAAUGGUUCUUGUUGGCUUUACGCACAGAUUUUGAGGCUGAAAUGGAUAAUUGUGUUUGUGUAAUUGGGCUCCCAAAAGAAUUCAGGCCAUAGAGUUUGGCUGAAUUAAUUUGCACCUUGAGCACACAGGUUUCAGAAUGGAAGACGCUAUGAACUGCAUCAAAUCUUCCCUGGUUGUCCAUGGCCAGGAGCAGCAUCACAGCAGGCACAGUGUGCUCCAACCCUUGGUAGCUGCUGGCCCAUCCACGGGCUCCCCGACUUCUGUUGGUUGUCAGAGGAUCCCAGUGAACCUCAUUCACACCAGCUACCAUCCCCCGUUCCAACUCCUCCAGGCUGUCCCAUCCAUCUGAGAUCAAGGUGACGUCCCUGUCCCUCAACUUGGAUCACACUGGGUAUGAUUUGGUGGUGGGACCAAACAGAGGACACAGUGCUCUUUCUCCAGAAGCGAUGCUCAGCAUGGUGCACUCAUCAUCCAUGCCCGAGCCCUUGACCCUCAUGCACCUUCUUGCUUCUCAUUAGUUGUGCGUAAAACAUUAAUUUUGUACAAAAGAGAGAAGGAAAGAAGAUCCCAUUUAUUCGGCCAGCCCUUCUCUGUUCUCAUUGCCCCUUAGAGCAAUCAGAAAUGUCCAACAGGACCCAACCAUGAGUGCUGAAACUAAAACCCAUCUGCAGAUCACCAAAGGUGGACAACCACUUCCCCCUUGGCAUUUUUAGGCCAUCACAUCACACCAUCCGCAGGAAUAGCCAGCUAUUCCUUCCAGCUAAUGGCCAGCUAUAGCCAGCCUUCACAACCAGGGUGAUAUUUCUGUAGAAAAUAACUCUAAAUACAAUAAAACACAAAAUGAGAAUGAGAGCUGCUGUGGGCUUACUUGGAGGGCAUUUCUGUUUCUCUCCGCAUCUUUCCAGCCAAAUUUCUUCUUCUUCCACACAUCCAUCCUUCUAGGAAAGCUGUUCUUUUAGGGAUGAUCAUUGACUUUAGAGCUGUACACGAAUAAGACUCCAUGGAAGAAACCCAGUGUCCUGUUGCAGGAAUGUGGACCCAUGUGCAGAGGGGUAACUGCAGACAGGCAGAUGUCCUUCUGAGCACCCAAGGACAGGAGCCUCUGUAGCACAGGGGUUUCAGGAGAUCACUCAGAGCCAGUAUUGCAAGUCUGGAGUAUGUGUGAAAAUGGGAGAGAUUGCAGACAGCAAGUGGCAGACGAGCUGCAGCCUCCGUCCUGCCCAUUGCUGUGGGUCUGCAGGAUGGGGCUGUCCUCAGCAGCAUGUCUUCUGGAGUUGUGCCUACUGGAAAAUGCAAGCUCCCCGUGCUGGGACUCUCCUCCUUUUCUUGGUGAGCUGUUAGAAAGCACAUCUUCC
ensembl:lncRNA